AGUGAACGCUGGCGGUAGGCCUAACGCAUGCAAGUCGAACGGCAGCACAGUAAGAGCUUGCUCUUACGGGUGGCGAGUGGCGGACGGGUGGGGAAUACAUCGGAAUCUACUUUUUCGUGGGGGAUAACGUAGGGAAACUUACGCUAAUACCGCAUACGACCUACGGGUGAAAGCAGGGGAUCUUCGGACCUUGCGCGAUUGAAUGAGCCGAUGUCGGAUUAGCUAGUUGGCGGGGUAAAGGCCCACCAAGGCGACGAUCCGUAGCUGGUCUGAGAGGAUGAUCAGCCACACUGGAACUGAGACACGGUCCAGACUCCUACGGGAGGCAGCAGUGGGGAAUAUUGGACAAUGGGCGCAAGCCUGAUCCAGCCAUACCGCGUGGGUGAAGAAGGCCUUCGGGUUGUAAAGCCCUUUUGUUGGGAAAGAAAAGCAGCAGGUUAAUACCCCGCUGUUCUGACGGUACCCAAAGAAUAAGCACCGGCUAACUUCGUG
rnacentral:rRNA from 1 species